AACAUAUAAAGGCAAAAAAGGAAAAAGUUGUUUUAAAGAAGAAUUUCAUCAGUUGAGGAAACCAAAGCUUCAGAAUAAGGGGUAACUCAAGUUCACUCAACUAGAAAGUGAAGAGCCAGUAUUGGAACUCAGAGAUUGGUGCAGAAGAGAAUCAUUCUGUCCUGAGAUGGCCACCUUCCUCCUAUGCAGACUAUCAUCCAGAGUUUCCUCAGAUUACCCUACAGGCAUAUAACCCAAGCUUCAUGUGCCAUCAGCUGGUGCUGGUUUUAGUUGAUGUUCAAAGCCACUUUGGAAAGUCUCUGUUGAGUUGCUUUUAGAAGUUCUGACACUCAUUUGAUCAAUCUCAGUGAAGCAAAUCCUUGAAUCUGACUUCAGGAAACAGUCAAAGCAAGAUUUGAAGCCAAGUUUGUGGUAAGAAAUAA